UUUUCAUCCAAAACGCUCCCAACCUGUUGUCCAUCGAUUUCCCGAAAGGGCUUCAUGCUUUUAUUGGUCAGUGUGGGCCUGAACACAUGUUGCACCCUCCUCUAAACCGACACAGAUCACCCAAAUACAUCUCUCCCUGUCUUCCUUUCUUCUCCAGCAAAAGGGUGGCUAAGCUCCUACAGGCCUUUGAUUUAUAGGUUUGAGGAAUCGUUGAAUGUUGAUGUGUUUUCAAGAGGUUAAAGAGAGAGGGAAAGUCGGCGAUUUUUUCGGCCGGCGAAGACUAGAUUACGGUGCCUGGACCACUUCGGACCAAUAUGUAGAGAUGGAGUCCUAUAAACAUUGGGGUCUAACAUACAAAAGAACAAGGAUGAAGUUUGCCAUUUUGAUUUUAUUAGGAACAAAGAUGAAGUCUGCUCUAAUAGAUCAGCUUUCUUGAAGUGCAUCUGCUGUUGUUUGAUGCAUUUACAUGUGGGUUUGGUGAGUAAAUUGUAAAAGUUUUGGGGUUGAAUGGAAGAUUGGCGAGAUUGUUUAUGAAGUUUGUUGAUGAAGUGUGAGGGUGAGUAUGUGGUGGUAUAUUCAACUCAUCAGUCAUGUCUCAUUUUCAUUUUCUUGAACAUUGUGGCGGAGGAAGUCGCCGGAGAAAAGCCCCGGCGAAACAAAAAGCUCAGGUGGAUCCAUGUCUGAUCAGAUAUAUUCAACUCAUCAGUCAUGUCUCAUUUUCAUUUUCUUGAACAUUGUGGCUGUGAGUAAUGGUUGAAUUACAAUAGCCAACCUUCACCACACUCACAAAAUGAUUUGGCUGCUGCUGAGGCAAAGCAUCCGUAGGUAUCAUGUAGGUUAUACAAAUGACAUCUUUACACCAAACACGCCACCAUCAACAAAAAAAAGACAACUGCUCCAAUUGUCGGGUUCGUUAAAGAAGCCAUGGAGGUUUUGAGGAAUGUCCAGCAACAAACCAACAGAAGUAGCCCUGCAGGUCAGUUUGCUUCCCUAUCUCAGCCUUGUCUCUUGAUCCUGAUGUUGACCAUUGAUCUGGCAUAGUAGAACACACAUUAGAGUAUUUCAAGAUUAUGACAGAAGAUUAUGGUAUUGUCCCUGACCUCAAACAUUAUGCUUGUGUAGUUGAUUUACUUUUACGCGCAUGGAAACUUGAAGGAGCUUACAUGUUUAUUAGAGAAAUGCCUAUAAAAUCAGAUUGAUCUAUAUGAAUGGAUAAAUGCAGGGUAUUAUACACUUUUGUGUAAUUUUUAUGAUGAUAAUGGUAAAUGGGAUGAAGUUGCAAAGUUGAAAAUGGCAAUGAGAGAAAAAAGGGUUAUAGUUGAUCCUGGGUGUGGUUGGGUGGAAGUGAAGGGGAGCAUUCAUGCAUUUCUUACUGCUGAUAAGAACCAUCCUCAAUGAAAAGAAAUAAAUUCAAUUUUGAAUGACGUUUAUGAAAAGAUGGAAGAAAUCACGUAAUUUGAUUAUUCAAAAGCAGAUGUUUUGCAUGGCCAUAGUGAAAGACUGGCCGUUGGAUUUGGGCUUUUAAAUACGGCUCCAGGUCUGCCUAUACGAGUAACAAAAAAUCUUUAUAUAUGGUUGGUGGUGGUUUUAUUUUUUA